CUCUGGUACAGAAACCAUCUCCUCUCCAGACCAGACCCGGUCCCCUGGGCCAUCUGUGGGAGCAGAAGCUGGUGGUGGCACGGAUGCCAUCGUACCCUCCACAGCCCCGCAGCUCGCCCACUCAUCAUCUGCCUCGGACAGUGCUGCCACGUCUUUUCACAGCAGUCAUGGACCCAAGAGCAUCCCAGUCACAGGAGAGGCAAUGCUGCACUCAGAAGUGUCCCCUGCACUCACCAGUGUGGUUGUGGGGACACCAGGGUCCCCCUCAAGCUCUGCCACCAGCACUGACCCCACCAGCAGUUUGGGACAAACCUUGUCCUCCUCGGUGACCAAGGCACACCAAACUGAUGGCUGGCAGGGAGACACAGACCUCACUGAGCAUCCCCAGGAGCUCAGCAGCUUGCUGUCUGCCUCUGCACAUGUUUUUACAGGUAUCAGAAGCAGCCGCCAACCAACUGACACAUCGACGGCAGAGAAAGAAACCUCAGCUUCCUCUACCACCAGUGCUUACGUUUCAGCCACCGCCACUGGCAGCGGAGGGAGGCCACCAAGGUCUGUCACAAACAGCAGCCACUGGGCAACAGAAGUCUCUGCUCCCAGCAGUGAUGUAUCCAGGACCUCGGGCACCAUCAGAUCCUCACCUGCCUCUUCUGUAAGAGCGACCUAUGGAGUGCAUGGGGCCAGAGAGACCACAGGUUUCAGCCAGCCUGUGGAAGACCCUUUGCUGCUACGCUCUCACUCUCCUGCAGAAGGUCCUACAGGUGAGCUCGAGUCAGAGGUGAAGUCCAUUUUUAUGGGGAGUAAAAGGAGGGUAGUUAUUUUAUCCUGCACUACCCAUGUAUCACAAAACAUUACAACUAUGUUGAAUAUACUGUUAAGAAAGGUGUAGCAUGAUUUCUGGGUCUGAAGGAAUUCGGCUCUUUUUGAGGAAAAAAUUUGGUUUAGUGUUUUUACCUAAAAGGCACACGUGAAAAGUUUCCUUAGGCCAAGAAAAAUAAUUUACUUUCGAAUCAUGGUAAUUUUUUACCAUCUCCAGUUGUUAUUUCUGUUUCAUAAGCAAGGGAACUAAGCACGUGGGGAUUCAAUCUUGUCCCUGCAGUUCCAGGGAGUAGGCUUCAGUUCCUGCCUUGUACACAAUGGACCACACUGCUUCUCAGAAAUGGAACCAGCUCAACAGAUUCAGGGC
rnacentral:lncRNA from 1 species